rnacentral:rRNA from 1 species
UACGGAGGAUCCGAGCGUUAUCCGGAUUUAUUGGGUUUAAAGGGUGCGCAGGUGGAAUAUUAAGUCGGCGGUGAAAGUUUGCAGCUUAACUGUAAAAUUGCCGUUGAAACUGGUUUUCUUGAGUGUAUAUGAAGUAGGCGGAAUUUGUAGUGUAGCGGUGAAAUGCAUAGAUAUUACAAGGAACUCCGAUUGCGAAGGCAGCUUACUAAAAUACAACUGACGCUCAGGCACGAAGGCGUGGGUAUCAAACAGGAUUAGAUACCCUGGUAGUCCCUGA